UACGUAGGGGGCAAGCGUUGUCCGGAAUUAUUGGGCGUAAAGCGCGUGUAGGCGGUCCGGUAAGUCGGCUGUGAAAGUCCAGGGCUCAACCCUGGGAUGCCGGUCGAUACUGCCGAACUAGAGUGCGGAAGAGGCGAGUGGAAUUCCCGGUGUAGCGGUGAAAUGCGCAGAUAUCGGGAGGAACACCAAUUGCGAAGGCAGCUCGCUGGGACGUUACUGACGCUGAGGCGCGAAGGCGUGGGGAGCGAACGGG
rnacentral:rRNA from 1 species